GACCAGCUGCUUGCCAAAUCUGAGCCAAUGAAUUGCACCUCUGUGGUAAAGUAUUUAAGAGAGGAUAAAAACACUGAACAGCAGCUUUGAGAGAGAAGGAAGAAAAUAUGGAGAGAAACAGUCAUGAAGACACCAAGCUCAGUGAAGAAGGAGGAGAAGAGAUAUUCCGGGCACCAGAGCAGAACAUUCCUGUGGGACUGUGAUGAAGUGUGAUUGAAGCAGAUUGAGCCCCUGCAGCCCGUGGUGUAUCAUAUCAUAUCAGAGCAGAGAUCUGCACUACAGUCUGUGGAGGACUCCAUACCAGAUCAGGCAGACCUGCUUAGCAGUAAACUUCAGUAUAUAGAGACCAGCUCAUACUGAAGCAGGGGAGGAGCAUUAUAAGGAAAGAACAGUACAGGCAAAUUGUUACAAACCACAACCACAUUCCACUGUCCUCAUUCCCCUGAAUCACUUAAAGAAGAAGACAUAGAAAACUCAAGACUGAAGUUGAGCCUAAGAAGAAGAGGCAGGCGGAAGAAGGUCACUGAUUAAGAUGUUAAAGAAGCCAGGACCCAGCACUGACUCCUGCUUCAGAGCUGUUCCAGCCAAAACCACAGCGACUGACCGCAAGGUCAAUUGCUGCAGAAGAGACCAAGGCACCUGCAUGCUUUCCAGGAAAUAUUCAAUAUACAUUCUGAUUUCUCCUAACUGUUUACGAAACAGAAAAUGAUUAUCUAUGGCUUUUGCAGGAGAAUAUCUGAGGCACCACAGUUUUCACUAGUUAGGAUGAAAAAUAACUGUGGUGUCACAAAGAAACCAUAAUAUUUAACCAUUUCCAAGGACUAAAUAUCCUUUGAGAACGACAACACACCUGAAACUGGUAAGGGGUCUGGAGCACAAGUCUAAUGAAGAGCAGCUGAGGAAGCUGGGAUUGUUCAGUCUGGAGAAGAAGAGGCUCAGGGGAGAUCUCAAUGCAUUCUACAAUGUCCUGAAGGGAAGUUUUGAUGAGGAGGGGUUUGGCCUCUUCUCCCAGGCGACAAACAGGACCCAAGGAAAUGGCCACAAGUUGUACC